rnacentral:rRNA from 1 species
AAACAUCGCCUUUUGAACACUAUAAAAGGUAACGCCUGCCCAGUGACAAUUUGUUUAACGGCCGCGGUAUUCUGACCGUGCGAAGGUAGCGUAAUCACUUGUCUUUUAAAUAAAGACUAGUAUGAAUGGCAUCACGAGGACUUAACUGUCUCCCCCCUCCAAUCAGUGAAACUGAUUUCCCCGUACAAAAGCGUGGAUAAAUACAUAAGACGAGAAGACCCUAUGGAGCUUAAAACCAAAAACCACUUGUUUAACCUACUACAUUAAUGUAAUACUAAAAUAACAAGCCUUGUCCAGGUUUUUAGUUGGGGUGACUGUGGAGAAAAAUAAAUCCUCCAUGUAGACUUAAGCUUUGAGUUACCACUCUAUGUAUUAGCAAGCCUAACUUCACUUGAUCCAAUAAUUUGAUCAACGGACCAAGUUACCCUAGGGAUAACAGCGCAAUCCAUUUCAAGAGUCCAUAUCGACAAAUGGGUUUACGACCUCGAUGUUGGAUUAGGACAUCCAAGUGGUGCAGCCGCUGCUAAGGGUUCGUUUGUUCAACGAUUAAAGUCCUACGUGAUC